UUUUAAUAUCUGGGUUCUGUUUUGGUUUUUAGAAAUAGCUUUCUAGGUUCUUUUAUAUUCAUUGCUACUGUUAGGAUUUUCUUAGGCUCUAUUUCUUUUAGAUUUGAAUUUGUUUUAGUUUGGUAUACUCUUUGAAUUGAUUCUCAUCUUUUUACAUUUAAACAUGUACAAGAAGUUAAUAGUGUUUUUCUUGCUUUCAUGUACAGUGUACAAUUGGUGAUGUUGCUUCUAUAAGGAAUUUGUUCUAGGAAAAAAUGGUGAAGCUUUAUAAAUACACUCAAAAAGCCAGAAAAGUAGGAAGCUCCACAAAUUCUCAUNCUGUGCAGAUUGAUGAUGCAUCAAACAAUUUGUCUCCAUCAAUUUUAAGACAACUGUACAUCAAGAACAUCUGCUAUAUGCCUUGAAGACUAUUGUGUUGGUGAGAAGAUCAGGAUUNUUUCUUUGCUGUCACAGGCAUUGUUGGUGGAAUUUCUGUCCUCUUGUCGACCACAAAUCUCUCCGCUAAAUUGACAAAAGUGGAAAGUAAGUGGGUACUUUGUCUCACGAGGUUANUUGCAUGCUAUGUAAGUGGAUGAUUGCUCAACUUCUUAUGGUGCUUGAUUACUUGCAUGCUAAUCAUAUUCUUCAUCGUGAUGUCAAGGUUAGCUAAACAAAUCNUGUUAUGUUACCUAGUUUCAACAUGCUUUUUNUGUUCUAUGGAUUGAAUUUUGUCUCUUUGUCUUUUGUCAUGACUUUCUUAAUUGAUUAUCAGUUACAUGGCUAUCCAUAAUUACAUAUAUCUGUCCAAAAGCUCGAAAACUACUUGCAUUUACUAUUUUAUAUAUUUUUGGCAAACAUUGUUCUUUUAUAUAUAUAUAUACACUUGUCGUUUAUUUGUUUCAAACAUGAUAUAGAGGGCCUGAUUAACAAAAUUAACAAGUCCAUAGUGGCUCCAUUGCCAACAAAAUAUUUUGGUGUAUUGUAAGUGUUUGUUCUUUUGUCAUUUAGUUGUGAUGGCUUAUACUUUUAGUUAUUAAAUUGCUUUGCCAUGUCUUAAU